UUACGGCUAUAUCAUGUUGAAGUACUGGUUCUUGUAGGAUCCCUGAAGUUAAACAAUGUCGAGCUUGGUCAAUACCUAGGUGGGAAACCACUUGGGAAUACAAGGUGCUGUAGG